GUGAGCUCCAAUUUGCAUGGGACAUCCAAAGGGCAUUGAACGGUGGGCAGUUGGAGACGUGGGUCUGGAGCUUGGGACUUCAGCCUAGCUUGCAGAAAGUCACCACUGAUAUAGAAAUGGAACCUAUGGCCGGGUGCGGUGGCUCACACCUGUAAUCCCAGCACUUUGGGAGGCCAAGGUGGGCGAAUCAGAUCAGGAGAUCGAGACCAUCCCGGCCAACAUUAUGAAACGCCGUCUCCACUAAAUAUACAAAAAAUUAGCCGGGCGUGUUGGCGGGCGCCUGUAGUCCCAGCUAUUCGGGAGGCUGAGGCAGGAGAAUGGCCUGAACCCGGGAGGCAGAGCUUGCAGUGAGCCCAGAUCACACCACUGGGGAACAGAGCGAGACUCUGUCUCAAAAAAAAAAAAAAAAAAAAAAAGAAAUGGAGCCUAUGGGGGUGGCUGUGAUCAGGGGGAUGUGCUGAGGAGAACCUGGCGUAAGUGUUUCAUUAAGCCAUAGCUCCCAAAGACUUUCUGAAAAGCUAAGUUACAGCCUGAAAGAAAAGAUCUUCAGAGGCUAUAUUUGAUAAAAGACUUGUAUCCAGAAUAUAGAAAGAGCACUUAAAAUCAAUAGAUAAAAUCAAACAAUUCAAUUUUUUAAAUGGACAAAAUAUUUAAACAGACACUUCACCAAAGAAGAUAUACAGAUAGAAAAUUGAAAGACAUGAAAAGAUGCUCAACAUCAUUAAUAAUUAAGGAUAUGCAAAUUACAAGCACAGUGUGACACCGUCUCACACCUACUAGAAUGGACAAAGAAGACUGAUUAUACCAAGUAUUCGAAAGAAUGUGGAGGACCUGGGAUUCUUGUACACUGCUUAUGGGAUUAUAAAAUAGUAUCACUACAAUUGAAAAUCAUUUGGCAGUGUAUGAAGAGAGUUAAACAUACUCCUACCAUAUGACCUAGCCAUUUCAAUCCUAACUAUUGACAGUAUUGAGUUGCACCUUAGCCCUUUGCUCCUAGAAAUAGUGAAGAUUAAGGAAUCCCUCCACUCCUUUGUUCCAGAAAACACCCUACUGGAAAGAACCAGUGACUUUCCAUAUAGCUUGGAUAAGAAUCCUGAAUGUCCCCUCAUGACCAGACCAUACACAGACCCUCUAAAUUCCCAUUCUUGGCAUCAUAAAUGAUUAGCUGGACUGCUUGUUCCCACAGAUCAAUAAGAACAAAAUGCCUGUAACCAAACCUUGGUUCAGAUUCUCUCCUUCUCCAAGCCCCUGAGCUUUGGCCCACCCGCAGCUUGUGCCAACCCACCGCCCUCCUGAGGGUCCCUCCUGAGAACAGGCUAUCUGCAUGGUGUAUACAGAGCUCUAACUGUCCUGUUCCAUCCAAAGGGGGAAAACCAAGAAGCACUUGUGAAGUUAACAUUUCAGAGACAGAGGAUCACUAAAAGGCUGAGACCUAAUCAUAGGACUGUGAUCACUCUUCUGUCCUUUGCCAUCUUACUACGAUAUUACUGUAGGGCCUACUAACUGCAGUUCCUCUUACCCAGUACCUCAUGUCUGAUGUCAAGAAGAAAAUUACAAGUCAUACUAAAAGGCAAAACACAAAGUUUGAAGAAAAAGAGCAAGCAUCAGACCCAGACUCAGAUAUGGCAGGAGUGUUAGACUUAUCAGACCGGGAAUUUAAAACAAUUAUAACUAAUAUACUAAGGGCUCUAAUGAAUAAAGUAGACAGCAUGCAAGAACCUGUGAAGCAGAGAGAUGGAAAUCCUAAGAAAGAAUAAAAAGAAAGGCUAGAGAUGAGAAACACUGUUCUAGUGAUGAGAAAUGCCUUUGAUAGGCCCAUGAGUGUAAUGGACAUGGCUGAAGAAAGAAUCUCUACGCUUGAGGAUAUAUCAAUAGAAACUUCCAGGACAGAAAAGCAAAGAACAAAGAGACUGAAAAAGUGAAACAGACUAUUCAAGAACUGUGCGACAACUAUGAAAAAAAAUAACAUACACAUAAUGGGGAUGCAAGAAAGAGAAGAGAAACAAAGAGAAGAGAAAGAAACAGAAAAAAUAUUUAAAAUAAUAAUAGCUUGAGCAACAUAGGGAGACCCCAUCUCUACAAGAAAAUUAAAAAAUUAGGGGUGCAUGGUGCACACCUCUGGUCCCAUCUACUCGGUGGGGUGAGGUGAAAGGAUCAUGUAAGCCCGGGAGGUCAAAUCUGCAGUGAGCCAUGAUUGCACCACUGCACUCCAGCCUGGGUGACAGAGUGAGACCCUGUCUCAAAAAAUAAAUAGAUGUGGUGGCACACACCUGUAGUCCCAGGUACUUGGGAGGCUGAGGCAGGAGGAUCGCUUGAGUCUGUACAGGAGUUCUGGGCUGCAAUGCACUAUGCCGAUUGGGUGUCUGCACUAAGUUUGGCAUUAGUAUGGUGACCUCUGGGGAAAGGCGGAUAACCAGGUUGCCUAAGGAGGGGAGAACUGGCCCAGGUCAGAAACGGAGCAGGUCAAAAUUUCCUUGCUGACCACACCUGUGAAAGGCCACUGCACUCCAGCCUGACCAACACAGCGAGACCCCACCUUUUAAAUAAAUAAACAAAAAAAGAAUAAUGACAGAGAUUUUCACCAAAUUAAUAUCAGGCACCAAACCAUAGAUCCAGGAAGCUCUGUGAACACCAACCAGAAUAAAUGCCAAAAAACUCCACCCAGGUAUAGCAUAUUCAAAGUAGAAAUCAAAGAUAAAUAAAACACUACUGGAGGCCAAGGCAGGUUGAUCAGAGGUCAAGGUGGGUGUAUCACUUGAGGUCAGGAGUUUGAGCCAGCCUGGCCAACAUGGCAAAACCUCAUCACUACCAAAAACACAAAAAUUAGCUGGACAUAAAUGGUGGGCGCCUGUAAUCCCAGCUACUUGGGAGGCUGAGACAGGAGAUUCGCUUGAACCCAGGAGGUGAAGGUUGCAAGGUUGCAGUGAGCUGACAUUGCACCACUGCACUGCAGCCUGGUGACAAAGUGAGACUCUUUUCCAAACAAACAAAGAAACAAACAAACAAAAACUAUUGAAAGAAGCCAGAGGAAAAAGCCACCUUACCUAUAGGGAGCAAAGAUAAGGAUAACAUCUGUCUUCUCCUCGGAAACCAUGCAAACAAGAAGAGUGUGAAGUGAAAUAUUUAACAUCUUGAGUGAAAAAAAUACACAACCUUGAAUUCUGUACACUGUAAAAUUAUUCCUCAAAACUGAAGAAUAAAUACAGACUUUCUCAGACAAACAAAAAUUGAGGGAAUUUAUUGUUAGUACAUGUGCCUUGUAAGAAAUACUGAAAGAAGUUCUUCCAAGGGAAAGAAAAACAUACAAGUCAGAAACUUGGAUCUAUAUAAAGAAAGAGAGCACUGAAGAAGGAAUGAGUGAAGAUAAAAUAGUAACUUAUUUUUUUAUUCCAAAUUGAUCUAACAGAUAACAGUUUGUUCAAAAUAAUAAUAGCAAGAAUGUAUUCAAUUAUGUAUUCAUAUAUGUGUAUAUAUAUCUACAGAAACAUAUAUACUUAAGUACAUUUAUGUAUAAGUGAAAUGAAUGACAGUAGUGAUAUAAGAGAUAGGAGGCAGGAAUUGGGAUUAUUUUGUUAUUAUA
rnacentral:lncRNA from 1 species